GAUGAACGCUGGCGGCGUGCCUAAGACAUGCAAGUCGAACGGAAAGGCCCAGCGUGUUGGGUGCUGGAGUGGGGAACGGGCGAGUAAGACGGGGGUGAUCUGCCCCUAACUACGGCAUAAGCUCGGGAAGCUGGGGCUAAUACAGGAUAGGGGAAUGGUUUAGGGGCGGUGGUGGAAAGUUGGUUCGGGUAGGGCUGGGCCCGCUGCCUAUCAGCUUGCUGGGGGGGCUAUGGCCUACCAAGGCGUCGAGGGGUAGCCGGCCUGCGAGGGUGGACGGCCACAUUGGGACUGAGGUACGGCCCAGCAUCCUACGGGCGGCACCGGUGGGAAGUAUUGCGCACCGGGCGCGAGCCUGUUCCGGCGGCGCCGCGUGGGGAAUGACUGGCUCCGGGUGGUGACCCUCUUUGGACGGGAACGUCGCCUUGGUGACGGUACCUGUAUAGAAAGCACCGGCUAACUACGUG
rnacentral:rRNA from 1 species